CGUUUUUAUUAAUGCACCCGCGUGUUGUACGUGUUUUUAGCACUUAUUAUAAGUCAUUAAUUUAGGCAAGUACGUCAGAAUAAGGUUGAGGAUUGGUGUG
rnacentral:rRNA from 1 species